rnacentral:rRNA from 1 species
UUGAACGCUGGCGGCAUGCCUUACACAUGCAAGUCGAACGGUAACAGGUUAAGCUGCCGCGUGGCGAACGGGUGAGUAAUGUAUCGGAACGUGCCCAGUCGUGGGGGAUAACUGCUCGAAAGAGCAGCUAAUACCGCAUACGACCUGAGGGUGAAAGCGGGGGAUCGCAAGACCUCGCGCGAUUGGAGCGGCCGAUAUCAGAUUAGGUAGUUGGUGAGGUAAAGGCUCACCAAGCCGACGAUCUGUAGCUGGUCUGAGAGGACGACCAGCCACACUGGGACUGAGACACGGCCCAGACUCCUACAGGAGGCAGCAGUGGGGAAUUUUGGACAAUGGGCGCAAGCCUGAUCCAGCCAUGCCGCGUGCGGGAAGAAGGCCUUCGGGUUGUAAACCGCUUUUGUCAGGGAAGAAAAGGUUCUGGCUAAUACCUGGGACUCAUGACGGUACCUGAAGAAUAAGCACCGGCUAACUACGUG